UGUUCCCAAGACCAAACGCAUCUCACACCCUUCACCUGGCGACUCUUCCCAUGGCCGACCGACCUAGGUCGCGAACGGUACGGGAGCGAUGGCCAUGGCGAUCCGGGUGACUGGACGAGACGUAGCCGUCCCGGCACAGCCGCCGACCACGACCUCGGGCAGUGGUGCCUCUCCCUUGUUCUCGUUUUCUAGCGGUAGCCCCUAGCUUGCCAGAUGGCAGCACCGGCCAUCUCCGUCGCUUCGCCCUCCUCAACGGCAUGUUCUCCGUCUACCUGGAGUGCUCAGAGCCUCCUUCAAGGUGGAACGCCACCGCCGCUGCCAUCCAGCCCGACCCUAUGUUUCCGAUACUGGCCUUGUGGAUCUAGAGCAUAUCGGAGGUGCACAACCAGCACAAACGCGCUACAACGAGCAGCAUCAAGGGAUUUGGUUUUUGCGCUUAUCUACUUCGUCAUGAUACCCUCUCCUCCUCUGGACGUUGAUGUCAAAUUCUCUCCUCCAAGAGCCAAUUGCAGGUCAAAGUGUUCUGCUAUGAGCUAAAGGAAAUAUUUAUGGAGGAAACUACUGUUCAGGUAUCCAUGGGAUAAAAUUUGACCGACUCUUUGCUGAAAUUUAUUUCAGUACUAACGCAUAACCAAGUAAUGAUAUCUACCUUGAGAGCUUCAAGAAGGAUGUACUGGAUGCAUGCUAGGUGUACUGGCAUUUUACGCAUCUUCACAUUUAUUUCAGUUAUCACUUUUGUUCUCAUACUAUUUGUCUUUCAUCUCGCACAUGAUGUUACUCGUUGUAUCAGUUAUGCUGUCUCCCCAGGAGUUUUACAUUUUUGUGACCAGGUGCAUAAGGCUCACCUAUUUCUUCUUUGUUUUUAAACAUGGCAGCCCUUUGGUAGAGGCUUGUGAAGAUGCCAUUUCUACACCAUGUACACAAUCUAUGCUUAUUAGUUGUCUUUGGAGUGCUGAGUAGGCCUAUUUACUAUCUAAAUUGUUGUGUAUGUUGUUA